UUUGAGGAUUUGAUUUUCCAGGAGGCAAAUGAAAAUGUGGUUUUGUUGUUUGAUUUUCCAGGAGGCAAUUCCAGAAUAUACCCAUGAUGAUUGUUUGUGUUGAGCCCUCUCUACCAGAUGGUUGCCUGUAAUAUUUCAAUGUGCAGUUAGGAAAUUUUUUUUCCUUAGGCCACCCAAAUGCCAUGAUUAGUGUCCUCCAUGCAGCCCUGUCUUUUGAAGCCCCCAAAUUAUUUAAAUCUUGUGAUGUGCAGAACAACAUAAACCCAUUAUAAUCUCUCUUUGUGCAGGUUCUGGACCGUGGUGAGAAGAUUGAGCUUCUGGUAGACAAAAUAGAGAACCUCCACUCACAGGUGGUGAACCUCAAUAUCAUUGAGGGCCUGAACCUGCUGAAGGACUCCGAAAUAUUGGUGUUGAUGCCUUUUACUGCUACACAGCUCACCAAAGAUCAACAGAAGAAACCAGUGCCUUGGAAACAAUGGCAAUCAUUGGCAACAAGGAGAUCAUUGACAUCAACCAAGGUAUGUUAGUUACUUAGACUGGUGU